UCACAUGAUGACAAAGAGUAUCAUACUCGAUCAUUAAAACCCAGCUCGAUGAACGGCCUCGUCAAUUACAACGCUUAGAGGCUCGUAUUGAUAUGGAUUUUUAAUCUGAUAU
rfam:Tuber melanosporum whole genome shotgun sequence assembly, scaffold_84, strain Mel28